rnacentral:misc_RNA from 1 species
AAAAGAAGAAAGUAGUAGUAACAAAAAGCAUACACCGUAUAUAGAGGUAGCAAAUAUAUGGCAUACAUUACCCCCAAGAAAAUAAUGUGGUCAUAUAAAAAUUUAUUCCGACUCAAAAAAGGUUUGGGAUUGGCUAAAUGCCGCACAUACUGACUCAACAAAGGUUUAGGAUUGGCUAAAUGCCACACUAGUAAAUCAUUUUCAAUACCAAAAUAUAUGCAAGGACUAGUAGAUAAGCCAUAGUAUUCUCAUCAUAAGAAAUUAGCAUCCUCACCACUGUCGCCCCAUCCCCACCACUCCUUUGGGAAUUAAGACCACAACUGCUGCUGUCCUCUCCAAG